rnacentral:rRNA from 1 species
AGAGUUUGAUCCUGGCUCAGGAUGAACGCUGGCGGCGUGCCUAACACAUGCAAGUCGAACGGUGCCUUCGGGCACAGUGGCGAACGGGUGCGUAACACGUAGACAACCUACCCCGGAGUGGGGGAUAACCACUGGAAACGGUGGCUAAUACCCCGUACGCUCGUGAGAGGAAAGGAGCAAUCCGCUCUGGGAGGGGUCUGCGGCCUAUCAGCUAGUUGGUGAGGUAACGGCUCACCAAGGCGAUGACGGGUAGCUGGCCUGAGAGGGUGGUCAGCCACAUGGGGACUGAGAGACGGCCCCAACUCCUACGGGAGGCAGCAGUGAGGAAUAUUGCCCAAUGGGGGAAACCCUGAGGCAGCAACGCCGCGUGGAGGAAGACGUCCUUCGGGAUGUAAACUCCUUUUCAGGGGGAGCAGAAAGGAGCGUACCCCUGGAAGAAGUCACGGCUAACUACGUGCCAGCAGCCGCGGUAACACGUAGGUGACAAGCGUUAUCCGGAUUUACUGGGCGUAAAGGGUCCGUAGGUGGUCUGGGAGGUCUGGUGUGAAAUUCCCCGGCUCAACUGGGGGGAGCCACUGGAAACCUGCAGACUGGAGUCACACAGAGGUCACUCGAAUUCCCGGUGUAGUGGUGGAAUGCGUAGAGAUCGGGAGGAAGACCAGAGGCGCAAGCGGGUGACUGGGUGUUGACUGACACUGAGGGACGAAAGCGUGGGGAGCAAACAGGAUUAGAUACCCCGGUAGUCC